GCAAGGUGCAAAGGGUCUGUCCUCCCACACUGUUGGCCUUGUCACACGUGUGCUUCUUAUUACAGUUGCUUUGAAAUUGUGACUCUCUACUGUUUUGAGAGAUGUGGACAACUCCCAUGCUGUAUUUUCUUGUGUUCUUAAAAAAUAAUUCUGGACAUUUACACAGGGAAGAUGUCCCACGGUCGGGAGAAUAUUUGGUUGUAAAAUCAUCUGUCUCUCUUACUUCCUGUCUGCUUACCUCCUGUCUCUGAGGGGUUCCUGGGGACUGUGGUUCAUUUAUGCCUAGAUCUCUGUUCUCCAUACCUGCUCUGAAGAUCACGAGAAAACUCUGGAAAUUGUGUAUAAAACAAACAUAAGAAGAUUCAAAAAGGUGAAGAGAGGAAGGCAGACCGGUCAAGGAUCUCAGGACCCAAGGAAUGACAUGAUGGCUUUGGACCUAGAAGAAGGCACCCACUUCUCUCUCCAGAAGUGGGGUAGAGACAUCAAUCAAAAUCCAUGGGCACAGACAUGAAAGUAAUUUGGGCAUUUUCAGAGGGAAAACUGUAUGAUAUGAAGAAUUAUCAUCAUCCAUGCUCGUACUGAUAGAACACUACCGGUCAUCCUACAGAAAAAUACACAACAGAUGUUCUUCAUCAAGGGCCUUAGUAGGGGCGCCUGGGUGGCACAGCGGUUAAGCGUCUGCCUUCGGCUCAGUGCGUGAUCCCGGCGUUAUGGGAUCGAGCCCCACGUCAGGCUCCUCUGCU